UUAUAGUUAAUUAACCCCUUGAACAGUCUGUGCAGUAAGCUAAGAUGUUACAGGCGCUUCCUCUCGUCUCUCUGACCCACCCAGGUUCUUGACGCUGGUGUUGGGAAGAUCGGGACAGCAGGGCAAAACAACACCUGCUCCUGCCAAGACUACAAACUACUCUACAAGGUAAUAAAUCGCCUGGCUCCUCUGCACGAGGGAAGCGAAAGAUCCCCCCACGAUGACUCACGGAGCGCUUGUGCGCCUUGCAUCGCAGCUUUACUGCCUGGCCUGGCCAACCUCCAGUCUCUCGGAGCUUUACUACACAGCGCUAUCAUCAUGUCGUAGAGAGUCCUCCACGUAGGAAGUCUCUCUCAUGCUUCAUGACAGCGCCACAGAUCUUGGAGGGUGGAGACUGAGAACGUGCCGAGACGAGCACAAAGACGGCCUUGCUCUGUCUUUCUAAACAACCCUGACUUAAACAAGUUGUCAGC